AUAUGUCCGUCGUAAUCAUUUGACGAAGCCGCACCCGAUGAACAUCCUGAAACGCCUUAAGUUUCCAUUUAUUUGAUCCAUUAAUCCCACCAUUAACAUGUUUCAUUCCACUAGCCCCACUACGUACCAUUAAAUCCAGCUGAGACUCUUCAUAUGUAACCGGCUAAAGCUCUCCUAUAAAUUGGCAUGGUUGCAGCGAUGAAGACCACCCUAUCUACGAAAACUACAAAUAUCAUCCCUGCUAAUUUCUUCACCCUGCUUGCGGAUUUGAAAGCCAGUCUCUGUUUGAGAUCCGACUGGUUCAGAUCAAAUGGUCUCGCUUCUUACUCUGCUCAACUCUUCAGCUUCGGGUCAAUUCAACUACCAGACCUUGAUUUCUAUUUUGAUAAUAGUUUAAAACCUUUUAUUUGUUGUGACUGUUUUUCCUUUCCUUUUGAUUUUAUUGUUCUGUUUUUUCUUAUUGUUCCCGUCAGACUUUCAAGAAAAGAGCACCCGAAGAACAAAUUCGUUGUUGUUGUUGGAGAUAUAGGUGGAGACAAUCAGAAUAAUAAUUAAGAAUGUAUAGAUACAUAGCCCAAAGAGUUUCAGAAAAUUAUGCAAGGAAAUAACAGUCUCUCAGUGUGUUUGACGGAAAAGCUAGCCCACUGCACCACUAGACAUUGGAAUAGGCUGGUGUGGAUUUAAGAUCGUUCUUGCCACAUGCAUAAAUCCAAGAGCCAGGGGAUAUCAUAGCUCCUAAUGGAGUGAGGGUGGUGCUAUGGCAAUGCAAGUGGAAUAUAAACGUAAAAAGAGAGCCCAUCUUUGAGUCUAAAGGUAAUUAUGCAUUGCUUACAUGAGACAUCGUCAUCACUCAUGAAAAGUAAAUGAGGCCAGGAUAUAGAGUUGUGGAACGAUCAUAAUCGGAGGCAUCAACAACUUUAUCAAGCACUCGAUCAAAAGAGCAGCCGAUGGAGAGUGGCGAGGAGGAGAACAAAGGCAAGUCCGACAAGGAAAGGAAAGAGGAGAUGGUCAUAUCCACGUUGCUUUGGUUGAAACCUGGAGCGAGAUGGAGGGAGCUGGGAUCUUUGACCGAAGAAGGGUCAUGGCAAGGUCGCUUGGGAUUGGGAGGAGCGUCCAUAACACGGACACGGAAUCAGAGAAUCCAAAGCUUUUCCGCUUACAUUCAGCCGAGAUGGAAUUGUGAAAUUAGAGAGUAGACGCGAGUCGACUUUGAGAAUACGAUCAACGAACGAACGAGGCGAUCGAUCCUGAGUUAAAUUAUCUCCGUCGAAGAGACGAGGAGUCUCUGUCCUCUUUCGUCGCCGUCGUUCGAGGCGGGUAACAGUCAAGUGUGAUUCUGAUCGACGAAUUGGAUAAUCCGAAUCCUUAACCCGAUUGUUAUUUUGUGGAUUAAUUACUUGGACUACAAUAUUGAUUUUCAACUCCAUCGAAGCCCAACUAAACAAAGGGUAAAUACUAAAUAGUAAAUACUAUAAAAUAAAGUAAAUUAGUCUAUUUGUAUAAAAAAAUACAUUUGAACCAUUUGUAUAAGAAAAUACAUAAAUAUCUUAAUUUUGAAAGUAUUUUGAACUAUUUUUUUGAUAAAAAAUUUAAAAAAAUAUUGACAAUUUAAUUUUUUAAAAUAUUAUAAAUUACUUUAACUAUUAAAUUAUAUAAAAUAAUUUAUAUAUAUAACAUUCAUCCCGCAAAACUACUAAUGAAAAUAACCGACAUUCCAUUUGAGCACCAUCAAUGUAACAGGCUGGUGUGGAUCCUAAAAUCGUUCUUGCCACAUGCAUAAAUCCAAGUGGUCACCUAUUCCUUAAUGCAACCUAUGCGACUCAUUUCUACUUUGACAAUCAAAGCGGGGUCAGAGCUUCUUCCAUGAGUCAGAACCUACAGCGAUAAGAUGUCCUUAUUACUUCCACACACUUUGUCAAACAUCUUACACUAUUUCCACUGCAGGUUGCGUGAGAGUGACGUCAAUUGGUCCUCAAGUUCAGUAAAGUAUGCAAGUGUCCAGAAAAUACAACUAUGGAUGUAUGAUGUAUCCAGGAAAUAUAACAUGUAACCGUUUCAGAGAACGCCUACGUCCUUGCAUACCAAAACCUACCUUUCCUGAUGUAUUAACCUAAAAAAGUCUUUCAUUCUCACAUUUUUGACC